CUGAUGCAGCGACGCCGCGUGAGGGAUGACGGCCUUCGGGUUGUAAACCUCUUUCAGUAGGGAAGAAGCGAAAGUGACGGUACCUGCAGAAGAAGCACCGGCUAACUACGUGCCAGCAGCCGCGGUAAUACGUAGGGUGCGAGCGUUAUCCGGAAUUAUUGGGCGUAAAGAGCUCGUAGGCGGUUUGUCGCGUCUGUCGUGAAAGUCCGGGGCUUAACCCCGGAUCUGCGGUGGGUACGGGCAGACUAGAGUGCAGUAGGGGAGACUGGAAUUCCUGGUGUAGCGGUGGAAUGCGCAGAUAUCAGGAGGAACACCGAUGGCGAAGGCAGGUCUCUGGGCUGUAACUGACGCUGAGGAGCGAAAGCAUGGGGAGCGAACA
rnacentral:rRNA from 1 species